rnacentral:lncRNA from 1 species
CCAGGUCUGAGGGUCACGAUCACAGUGCCAGCGGGAAACACCAGGCAUCAGCGGCCCCCGCUGUGCUUGGCAUAAGCCUUUCUGUCCCCGGAUAAUCAGGAGCUCAGGAGUUAGGGUCUCAGCACUGGUACUGGGAACCCAGUGUUUCAUGAUCCCAACCCUACACCAUGCACACGGCCACCCCACACUCAGGACAUCUUCCGAGAGUGCGACCGAGACCAUUCAGGCACCCUGAACUCCUACGAGAUACACCUGGCAGUGGAGAGGGCCGGUGGCUGGGGCAGGCAGGGCUGCGGGGUGCAGGGGGGCCACGUCCAGAGGCCCACACUGUCCCCUUCCCACCCCUCAAUCCCAGGCAUUAAGUUGAACAAUGAGGUGGUGGAGGUGCUGGCGGCUCGAUAUGCAGACGACAACCUGACCCUGGACUUGGACAACUUCCUCUGCUGUUUCCUGAGGCUCAAGGCUGUGUUCAACCUGGACUCCGCUCUCAGCCCGUGCCCGGCUGCCUCUCUAACACAGCCUUUGUUCUAACCAUGGACCCCAAGAACACCGGCUAGAUCCGCUUAAACCUGGAGCAGUGGCUGCAGAUAACUCUGUGAGGGGAGCCAGCUCCCCCUGCCUGCAGGGUCUGAGGGCCAGGUGCUCGGUGCCACCCUAGGGCCAGGUCCCUGCAGAGGGCAUGGGCUCCACAUGCCAAAGUUACUCCAUGCCUGCCCUCCCAGCUCAAAUCCCCCUCUCCCCACCCCUGCCAGGCUUCUAGUGCCUGGGUCGGCCCCACGGGCUUGAGCUCUUUCUGAAUCUGUUUUACUAAAAAUUAAGUGACACUUCCCCAGCAUCCCCUGUCCACACCCACCUGCGCCUGGCACUCACCCCCUCACCUGUGGACAGUACUGUAAUAAAUGCCGCCUGCCACCCAUUCCCCAGUUCUGUGUCUCCAUGCUAUGAAAAGACAAGAGCAAAGAGGGGGGUCCCGUCGCUCUCAGAGGAAGGGGAUAGCACCU